CCGACAUUAGUCUGAUGCACCACACUUGAUCUGGGCCGCUAUUGAAUUGGACAUCUGAUUGCACACUAUUGGGCCGCUGAAAUGCAUUGAUAAAUGGGUCUGGUUUUUGUGAUGGAGUUGGGAUGCUGGUGCAAUGAAACUUUUGGGCAGCAGGGUGCUAAUAUGAAGAAGAUACAAUGGAUUGAGCCCUGAUAAUUUGGGCUGUUGUUGCCUUUAAUUGGGUAUUGGGUGUUGAAUGGAAUUGUGCUUGACGUGCCUUGUUGCUGAUCAUAGAAUUGGACCGCUAGUUGCACACACAUUUGGACCGCUGCAAUGCUGCCUUACUUGGGCUUCAAACAGUGAAACACAGUGUUUGCCAUAGUUGUUGCUAGCUGGACUUGGGCUGAAAUCCAAUUAGUGGAACGACGCCGUCUGGUGCAAUGCUGCAGCUUUUGGGGGUUUCAAUUUUGUAACCCAUUUGGGAGAAAGAUGCUCGAAGAUUCAUUUGAUAGAAAGAGAGGAAAGCACUCAAGGGCUCUCGCCACUUGCCUAGAGAAGAGAACCAAAGUGCACGUGCAGAGGUUGAACCGGUAAUAAUGAAGAUGAUGAUCGGAGCUUGAACCUGUAAAGAUAGGAGCUGAUCGGAGGGCUUAAAACGCAGAAGAAGAAGGAUUGUCCGAUGAGGAGCUCAAAGCGUCGCCAAACAAGUUUCUUCUUCAUUUUUCUUUACUUUCUUUCGUUUUUCAAACCCUAUAUAAAGGGGUUCUUCCAUGUAAAUAUUUUUCUUCUUCAGACUUACACGGAGACAACACAGAGACACUUUUCAUUUUACAUUUUUAGAAUUAGAGUAGAUAGAGAGGGCGCGAGAGCCUAGGGUUUACGCGAUUUCAUACGAUUCGAGUUCUCAUGUUCUUCCUUGCAUCUUGUUCGGUAUAUUUUCGUGUAAUCUUUGUUUUCUUUUGAAUAAAAUUUCUUCGUUUUGUACGUUUGGUGAUUUUGUGAUUUUGAUUUUUCCAUUGAUUCUGUGUUCUUGAUCGAUGAUGUGUGAGUCCUUCUUAUGUGUUUUGAUUUGAAAACGAGUUGAACUCGUAGAUCUGCACAUUAUAAUUCCUUUUUUGGAAUUAAACGACUCCACAGUGAGCGUGCAUAAUCGAGAUGUCUUCUCGAGUCAGAGUUGAGUUCAACGAGAAAAAAAUAUUGAUUUUAGCUUCUGUAAAUUGUUUGAAUUCUUGAAAAAUCUGAUUUAGACUCUAUUACUCCACAGUUGAAAUUCCUUUUUGGAAUUACAUGACUCCACAGUGAGCAUGACUCACCAAGAUGUCUUCUCGAGUGAAGAUGAGUCUAAUGAAGGAAAAAUAUUGUAAAUUCUUUUCUGUUAUUGUUGUCUUUUCAGAAUCAAAAACUUUGGUUUGAUUUAGGUUUUGAAUUGUGAAACUGCACUUUAUUUUCUCUAAUUAGAGAAACUGUAUUGUCUCCACAGUGAGCUUUUCUUUCCAAGGUGUCUCCUUGAGUCAGGGUGCAAUUCAAAACACUAAAUGAAUCAAAGUAUUUGAUCUGACUGUACUGUUCAUGAGUGUUAAAUGUUAGUCCCUUAUUGUUUUGUCACUCAAUUAUUGUCAUUGCUUUCAUGCAUCAAUAGUUUCUAUAUUCAGUUUUAGUUUUAAUUUUAGUUUCCUUGCUUUGUUAAUUUUUAGCAUGUUAGUUUAGGUUGCAUUCAAUUCUCAUUUUAGUUUAGAUUCUGUCCUGUUUUACAUAGAUUUAUAUUUUAGUUUAGGUUCAGGUUUUAUUUCUUUAUCUUCUUCAUUCAUUUCUUUUAUACAGAUUAUAGUUUAGCUUUCUUAUCUUUUUAAUUUCUUUGUUUUCAUUUCUCUUCCCCACAUUGCAUUAGUAAAUAAUUAGUAAAUAAAUAACACAAUACUUUAAUCAAACAUUUUUGAAACUUAAUCAUAGUUGAGUCCUUGGAUUGAUCCUU
rnacentral:lncRNA from 1 species